CAGCCGCCGCGGGAAUACGAAGGGUGCAAGCGUUAAUCGGAAUUACUGGGCGUAAAGCGUGCGUAGGCGGUGAGUUAAGUCUGCUGUGAAAUCCCCGGGCUCAACCUGGGAAUGGCAGUGGAUACUGGCUCGCUAGAGUGUGUCAGAGGAUGGUGGAAUUCCCGGUGUAGCGGUGAAAUGCGUAGAGAUCGGGAGGAACAUCAGUGGCGAAGGCGGCCAUCUGGGACAACACUGACGCUGAGGCACGAAAGCGUGGGGAGCAAACAGGAUUAGAUACCCGCGUAGUCCCUGUCUCUUAUAA
rnacentral:rRNA from 1 species